rnacentral:lncRNA from 1 species
AUUUUCUUGAAAGUUGGCAUUUUCUUUUUUUCUUUAUUUUUUUCUUUUUGAAGUGUCAUUCAAAAUAGCCUGAAGAAAGUAACAGUGGUAUGGCAAUGGAAUGGAGCAUAGUGAUAUCUAAGAUAGUUUGGAGGGGUCUGAGUAAGUGGGUUUUUUUGUGUUUUGAUGUUGCAAAUGAGAUUGCUAAUUCUCCAUCCGAGGAUGAGAUCCCCAUUUCUAGUUCUCUAUAUUUCAAUACUCCACCACUUGCUACAUAAUAUGUGUAGUUUUGGCCAAUUCUUACUUGGAGAGGA